rnacentral:rRNA from 1 species
AUUCAACACUGAGCUUUAGACGAGGGAAUAAAGUUAGCCAGCAUCAAGGACGAACGAUAGAGAGUCCUUUGCGCGUUAAAAAGUGUGCUAACACAGAGUUGUCUGAAUGUUGAGUGUUGAAUAUCUGAUUAGUGGCGGACGGGUGAGUAACACGUGGGCAACCUACCCAGAAGACCGGGAUAACGGCUCGAAAGGGCCGCUAAUACCGGAUAAUGUCGGGGUACCGCAUGGUACUCCGAAGAAAGGGGAAACCCGCUUUUGGAUGGGCCCGCGUCCCAUCAGCUAGUUGGUGAGGUAACGGCUCACCAAGGCGACGACGGGUAGCCGGUCUGAGAGGAUGGUCGGCCACACUGGGACUGAGACACGGCCCAGACUCCUACGGGAGGCAGCAGUUGGGAAUCUUGGGCAAUGGGCGAAAGCCUGACCCAGCGACGCCGCGUGAGGGAAGAAGGCCUUCGGGUCGUAAACCUCUGUCAUGGGGGAAGAAGCAAGUGACGGUACCCCAAGAGGAAGCUCCUGCUAACUACGUG